UAGUGAUAUUACAGUAUUACUGUUGCAUUUUUCAUUUGAUUGCUAUAAUCACGUGAUAUCCGGUUUAACCUGUUUAUAACCGUUUAAAGGUUACAAGAAUAAAAUACUUCUCUGCAGCUACUUCAGUUGAAUUCGAAGAAGUCGACAAGAUGCAUUAUUUACUAACAAUCUUUACACUUUGUUAUAGUUUAACAUAUGCAUACAUUACUUACAUCGAAGUUAAAUAUCCUCUACCUGGAGAGAAAUCCCCACCAGGAAGUCCUUGGCCAUUCCCCAAAAAAUGGAAGGCAUCUCCAAGAUUAUUAACGAUAGAUCCGAAUACUUUCUAUCUGUCAACAAAUAUGAAGAAUUGUGACGUUAUCGACGAAGGUCUAAAACGAUACAGAGAUUAUAUUCUCAUAGAUAAGCGAAAUGGUAAGAAAGACGAAGAUCUUCCCAUUCUGAAAGGAUUGAACGUCGAUAUUCGAAAAUUGGACAAGAAAGAUUGUGGAUAUCCUUCUCAUAACCAAGACGAAUCAUAUUUACUCAGUGUUCCUGAAUCUGGAAUUUCUACAAUUCAAGCAGAAACGGUUUGGGGAGCAUUAAGAGGAUUAGAAACAUUCAGUCAACUUGUAUAUCAAGAUAGAAAAAAUGCAGUAAGUAUGAAUUUUAAAACUUUAAAAAGUGAUGUUUAUCGUUAUUUUAUAUACCAAACUUUAUGUUUACAGUAUAGAAUCAAUAUUACCGAAAUUGAAGAUGCACCCAGAUAUAAAUACAGAGGACUUCUGAUAGAUACAUCUCGUCAUUUCCAAGUAAAAAAGGUUCUGAAAAAAAAUUUGGAUGCCAUGGCAUAUAACAAGUUUAAUGUAUUUCACUGGCAUAUAGUUGAUGAUCAAUCGUUUCCAUUUGAAAGUAAAACUUAUCCCAAUCUAACUACUGUUGGAGCGUAUAGUCCUAAACACGUUUAUACCUACGAAGAUAUCAAAGAAGUGAUAGAAUAUGCACGACUUCGUGGUAUAAGAGUCAUUCCAGAAUUUGAUACACCGGGACAUACACAAGCAAUCGGAAAAGCUUUCCCUCAACUUUUGACGCCAUGCUAUGGCGAAGGACUUGAUAAGCCCUAUACUCCAAAUUACACUGAACAUGCUUCUGCUGAAAUUCUUAAUCCAAUGGAAGAUUUCACUUACGAUUUCUUCAAAGCUCUUUUCGAAGAAGUGAAAGGUGUUUUCCCGGAUGAGUACAUUCAUCUCGGUAUGGACGAAGUUUAUUAUGCUUGCUGGAAAUCAAAUCCCGAAAUUAAGAAAUUUAUGGAAGAACAUAACAUGAAAGAUUAUAGCGAUUUAGAAACAUAUUAUGUAAAUAGAACCUUACACAAUGUGAAAGAUAUUGGUUAUAAAUAUAUGAUAUGGCAAGAUCCCAUCGAUAAUGGAGUUGUGGCUGAACCUGAUACGAUCGUUCAGGUAUGGAAAGAUACAGAAUUAGAUAUAAAAAUGAAAAAAUGGCAAGAAUAUAUCGAGCCUAUAGCUCAAAAAGGUUAUCAGAUGGUAUUGUCUUCAUGUUGGUAUCUGAAUUACAUUAGCUAUGGACAAGAUUGGAAGAAAUAUUAUAAAUGCGAUCCAAGAGGAUUUAAUGCUACCGAGGAACAGAAGAAUUUGAUAAUCGGCGGAGAAGCCUGUAUGUGGGGAGAAUAUGUUGAUGCUACUAAUAUUUUGUCUCGUUUAUGGCCACGUGCUUCAGCUGUUGCCGAACGAUUAUGGAGUCCAGAAAACAUUAACGAUGCUGACAGUGCUAGUUUUAGAUUAGACGAACACAGAUGUAGAAUGUUAAGAAGAGGAAUUCCUGCUCAACCAAUCCUUAACGGAUUUUGUGGUGAUUACGAAUGGGAUAUGGAAGAAUCAAGCAAUACCAAUGCGGUAGACAGAAUACAUUUCGAUAUAUUACUCUAUACUAUCGUUCUCAUUGUUUAUCUCUUCCACAGGUUUUAAUAACUUAUUUGGGUUGUGGAACACAACUAUAAGUUCUAUUAAUUCUUCUACAUGAAAAAAAACCUAACAGAUUGUCUUAUUUAUAUAACUUUUGUUUGUUUUUUUUCUAGUCUUUGAAUAUGUUUUCAAGAUGUUCAUAAUUUAUUUUGAUUCUCUUGAUGGCCAUAUUCGCAUGCUUCCUAUACUGCAAAUCCAUAAAAAUGGAGUCAAAACUACUCCCAUUAUAUUUUUAUACCAUUCUUUUUACAUUCAAAAUCAAUUUUAUUUUUAUUUUUGUGGAAGUUUUUUUCAUCUAUACACUUUGAUAUAUGUUAUGAUUAUUUAGUCAUUUGUAGUUUUAUGUAUACUCGAACUCUCUUGAGAAAAUAAAAU
rnacentral:misc_RNA from 1 species